UAAAUUCUCAUUUAAAUUUAAAGCCAAAAUGUAUCAACCAUUCAAAAUACAUCCCAAUAAUACCAUUCGUUUACAGUUUCAAAUUACUACAACCACAAAAUAUAUACCAAACUAUCCAUAUAUGCCUCUCAAAUUCACUUUUCAAUAUAAAUUACUACUAUAUUGAAUUGUGAAUUUGAUUACAUGCAUCCACAAAAUAAACC
rnacentral:lncRNA from 1 species